rnacentral:rRNA from 1 species
ACAUGCAAGUCGAGGGGCAGCAUGAUUGAAGCUUGCUUCAAUUGAUGGCGACCGGCGCACGGGUGAGUAACGCGUAUCCAACCUUCCGUACACUCAGGGAUAGCCUUUCGAAAGAAAGAUUAAUACCCGAUGGUAUGAUGAGAUUGCAUGAUAGCAUCAUUAAAGGUUUAUCGGUGUACGAUGGGGAUGCGUUCCAUUAGGUAGUAGGCGGGGUAACGGCCCACCUAGCCGACGAUGGAUAGGGGUUCUGAGAGGAAGGUCCCCCACAUUGGAACUGAGACACGGUCCAAACUCCUACGGGAGGCAGCAGUGAGGAAUAUUGGUCAAUGGACGAGAGUCUGAACCAGCCAAGUAGCGUGAAGGAUGAAGGUCCUACGGAUUGUAAACUUCUUUUAUAAGGGAAUAAAACCUCCCACGUGUGGGAGCUUGUAUGUACCUUAUGAAUAAGCAUCGGCUAACUCCGUGCCAGCAGCCGCGGUAAUACGGAGGAUGCGAGCGUUAUCCGGAUUUAUUGGGUUUAAAGGGAGCGCAGACGGGUCGUUAAGUCAGCUGUGAAAGUUUGGGGCUCAACCUUAAAAUUGCAGUUGAUACUGGCGUCCUUGAGUGCGGUUGAGGUGUGCGGAAUUCGUGGUGUAGCGGUGAAAUGCUUAGAUAUCACGAAGAACUCCGAUUGCGAAGGCAGCACACUAAGCCGUAACUGACGUUCAUGCUCGAAAGUGUGGGUAUCAAACAGGAUUAGAUACCCUGGUAGUCCACACGGUAAACGAUGGAUACUCGCUG